rnacentral:rRNA from 1 species
GAUGAACGCUGGCGGCGUGCCUAAUACAUGCAAGUCAAGCGAACGGACGAGAAGCUUGCUUCUCUGAUGUUAGCGGCGGACGGGUGAGUAACACGUGGAUAACCUACCUAUAAGACUGGGAUAACUUCGGGAAACCGGAGCUAAUACCGGAUAAUAUUUUGAACCGCAUGGUUCAAAAGUGAAAGACGGUCUUGCUGUCACUUAUAGAUGGAUCCGCGCUGCAUUAGCUAGUUGGGAAGGUAACGGCUUACCAAGGCAACGAUGCAUAGCCGACCUGAGAGGGUGAUCGGCCACACUGGAACUGAGACACGGUCCAGACUCCUACGGGAGGCAGCAGUAGGGAAUCUUCCGCAGUGGGCGAAAGCCUGACGGAGCAACGCCGCGUGAGUGAUGAAGGUCUUCGGAUCGUAAAACUCUGUUAUUAGGGAAGAACAUAUGUGUAAGUAACUGUGCACAUCUUGACGGUACCUAAUCAGAAAGCCACGGCUAACUACGUG